UUGGAUUUCCUUUGGCAGGGUUCCCUUGUAUGGAAGUUCUCGGGAGAACAACACUCUCAGAGUCCCAUUGUCUCAAAGAAUUCUUAAUGGACAGAUAUUUUUAAAGAAGUCAGGGUUAUCCACAGCUAUGUACAUAUAAUACCAAAUCAGAUCAUUUAUUCUGUACCUGAGGCAAAAAAGCUUCUGAUUCCUGAAUGGAUUUCUUCACCGGUUCUUCUGGGGGAUGAGAGAAACCAUUUACAAAGCUGAAGGAGAGGUAAGUCCACCCCUACACUGGCUGAGUUUCUUUGUAUAACAACUGUUCUCCCUUCCUAUUUUCUUCAAUUAUCUCUUCUUUCCCCAGCUAUACUUGGCCCCAAGGUUCCAACCUCACAUUGAAGAAAGUGACAUAAGAAAACACAAGUCCCAGCGCUAUCAGGGGCUAUCUGGAAAAGCUGCUUAAACGGCAAGUGAAAGAAGGCUCUCCCCUACCCCGUUCUAGGUGAGGAACAGGUGGCUGACUCACCCUGAAGUUAUUUGAAGGAUCCUUGAAACUCUUUUGGAUUGCUGCUUGGAGAACAUUCCUGUAACUUGUUCCUGCUCCUUGAACUAUAAAAGCAGAAGGGAAUUACUGAGUUAAAACUUAUAAAUUAUUAUCAAAUAAAUCUUCAACAGU
rnacentral:antisense_RNA from 1 species